rnacentral:lncRNA from 1 species
ACAGUCAGGGCCAGGGAGGAGCAGAAUCCUCAGAGGAAGAUGUGGAUCCUCUCCCAGACAGCCGGGAGGCAGGUGGGACACAGGGAGGAGCAGAUCCUCACUCAGACAAAGAUGGGGAUCCUGCCCUGGGUGGAGGGAGGAGCAGCAUCCUCACUCAGCCAAAGAUGGGGAUCCUCUUGGGACGGCCUGGAGGCAGAUGGGGCACAGGGAGGAGCAGAAUCCUCAGAGGAAGACGCGGAUCCUCCCUCAGACAAAGAUGUGGAUCCUCCCUCAAAGAUGUGGAUCCUCCCUCAGACAAAGAGGCGGAUCCUCCCUCAGACGAAGAGGCGGAUCCUCCCUCAGACGAAGAGGCGGAUCGAAGAGGCGGAUCGUCUCGCGGAUGGAAGGAGGAAGGAGCAGAUCCUCAGACAAAGAUGUGGAUCCUCUCCUGGAUGGCCUGGUGGCAGAUGGGGCACAGGGAGGAGCAGAAUCCUCCCUCAGACAAAGAUGCGGAUCCUCCCUCAGAGGAAGACGCGGAUCCUCCCUCAGACAAAGAUGUGGAUCCUCCCUCAAAGAUGUGGAUCCUCCUCCCUCAGACGAAGAUGUGGAUCCUCCCUCAGACGAAGAUGUGGAUCCUCCCUCAGAGGAAGAUGCGGAUCCUCCCUCAGACGAAGAUGUGGAUCCUCCCUCAGAGGAAGAGGCGGAUCCUCCCUCAGACGAAGAUGUGGAUCCUCCCUCAAAGAUGCAGAUCCUCCCUCAGACGAAGAUGUGGAUCCUCUCGCGGAUGGCCUGGCGGCAGAUGGGGCACACGGUCAGCGCCGUGCUGCAGUCCGGGCAGGAGCCGUGCCCGCACUGGAACACCAGCUUGAUCUGGUCGUCGAUGCAGAUGGGGCAGGUGAUCCUCUCCUCCAUCUGCCGGUA